rnacentral:rRNA from 1 species
CAUGCAGGCGGUUUACAAAGUCGGACGUGAAAGCUCUCGGCUCUACUGAGAGAGGCCGUUCGAAACUAGUAGACUUGAGGGUGGUAGAGGUAAGUGGAAUUCCCGGUGUAGUGGUGAAAUGCGUAGAUAUCGGGAGGAACACCAGUGGCGAAGGCGGCUUACUGGGCCAUACCUGACGCUCAGAUGCGAAAGCUAGGGGAGAGAACG